CCAAGGGUUUAUAAAAAGCUAUCAAUUUUGCCUGCUAGGUUGUUCUUUUGUGAUUACUGUGCCACUUGGAAGGCCUGAUAAAUUCAUCCUUAAGGCCUCUAUGAAUGCUUUGAUCUCAAACUCUGCAUCUCCCAUUUUGUCAUCUUUGCUAAAUGUGUCAUGAUCAUACACAGUCAGUUUGACUGGAAGAUUAGGAUCUGUAACAGAAAGAGUUAAAUCUUCAUUCCACUCUGGAUUAACAUCCUUUUUUAUUACUCGAGUCUUCAGUUUCUGUCUGCCCAUCUUGACAACGACAUAAGGAUCGCUGCUACGAACAUCACGAACGGCGAGGUUAACGCCGCGUUUGAUGCGAAUUCUAAGCAAACCCAGAAGAUUAUCCAUCAACGACGACGUUUUCUUUCCUGACCCUGGCGAUCCUGGCGAUUCUGUCAUCCCCUUUGAUCCCCCUCCCUCCUUAUUAUGAGCAACGUACCCCGCC
rnacentral:misc_RNA from 1 species